GACGAACGCUGGCGGCGUGCUUAACACAUGCAAGUCGAACGGAAAGGCCCUGCUUUUGUGGUGUGCUCGAGUGGCGAACGGGUGCGUAACACGUGAGUAACCUGCCCUUGACUUUGGUGUAACUUCAGGAAACUGGGGCUAAUCCAGUAUAGGAUCUCCUGCUGCAUGGUGGGGGUUGGAAAGUUUCGGCGGUUGGGGAUGGACUCGCGGCUUAUCAGCUUGUUGGUUGGGUAGUGGCUUACCAAGGCUUUGACGGGUAGCCGGCAUGUGAGCGUGACCGGCGACAAUGGGACUGAGAGACGGCCCAGACUGCUACGGGAGGCAGCAGGGGGGAAUAUGGCACAAUGGGAGGAAGCCGGAGGAAGAAACGCUGCGGGCGGGAUGACGGCUUUCGGGUUGUAAACCGCUUUAGCCUGUGACGAAGCGGGAGUGACGGUAAUGGGUAAAGAAGCACCGGCUAACUACGUG
rnacentral:rRNA from 1 species